GAUGAACGCUGGCGGCGUGCCUAAUACAUGCAAGUCGAGCGAUCAGAAGAGGAGCUUGCUCCUCUGACGUUAGCGGCGGACGGGUGAGUAACACGUGGAUAACCUACCUAUAAGCCUGGGAUAACUUCUGGAAACCGGAGCUAAUACCGGAUAAUAUUUUGAACCGCAUGGUUCUAUAGUGAAAGACGGUUUUGCUGUACUUUAUAGUUGAAUCCGCGUCGAAUUAGCUAGUUGGUAAGGUAACGGCGUACUAAGGCGACGAUGCUUAGCCGACCGAAGAGGGUGUUGGGCCACACGGGAACUGAAAAACGGUCCGAACCCCUACGGGAGGAACCAGUAGGGAAUCUUCCGAAAUGGGGGAAAGCCUGACGGAGCAACGCCGCGUGAGUGAGGAAGGUCUUCGGAUCUUAAAAUUCUGUGAUUAGGGAGGAACAAAUGUGUAAGUAACUAUGCACGUCUUGACGGUACCUAAUCAGAAAGCCACGGCUAACUACGUG
rnacentral:rRNA from 1 species